rnacentral:rRNA from 1 species
GACGAACGCUGGCGGCGUGCUUAACACAUGCAAGUCGAACGGAAAGGCCCUGCUUUUGUGGGGUGCUCGAGUGGCGAACGGGUGAGUAACACGUGAGUAACCUGCCCUUGACUUUGGGAUAACUUCAGGAAACUGGGGCUAAUACCGGAUAGGAGCUCCUGUUGCAUGGUGGGGGUUGGAAAGUUUCGGCGGUUGGGGAUGGACUCGCGGCUUAUCAGCUUGUUGGUGGGGUAGUGGCUUACCAAGGCUUUGACGGGUAGCCGGCCUGAGAGGGUGACCGGCGACAUUGGGACUGAGGUACGGCCCAGACUCCUACGGGAGGCAGCAGUGGGGAAUAUUGCACAAUGGGCGGAAGCCUGAUGCAGCAACGCCGCGUGCGGGAUGACGGCCUUCGGGUUGUAAACCGCUUUCGCCUGUGACGAAGCGUGAGUGACGGUAAUGGGUAAAGAAGCACCGGCUAACUACGUG